rnacentral:tRNA from 1 species
GGAGGGUAUAGCUCAGUGGUAGAGCGUGUGCUUAGCAUGCACAGGGUCCUGGGUUCAAUCCCCAGUACCUCCA